GAUCUUGUAGCUCAAUUGGAUAGAGCAUCGGUUUUCUAAACCGAGGGUUACAGGUUCGAACCCUGUCGAGGUCACAA
rnacentral:tRNA from 1 species